GAUGAACGCUGGCGGCGUGCCUAAUACAUGCAAGUCGAGCGAACGGACGAGAAGCUUGCUUUUCUGAUGUUAGCGGCGGACGGGUGAGUAACACGUGGAUAACCUACCUAUAAGACUGGGAUAACUUCGGGAAACCGGAGCUAAUACCGGAUAAUAUUUUGAACCGCAUGGUUCAAAAGUGAAAGACGGUCUUGCUGUCACUUAUAGAUGGAUCCGCGCUGCAUUAGCUAGUUGGUAAGGUAACGGCUUACCAAGGCAACGAUGCAUAGCCGACCUGAGAGGGUGAUCGGCCACACUGGAACUGAGACACGGUCCAGACUCCUACGGGAGGCAGCAGUAGGGAAUCUUCCGCAAUGGGCGAAAGCCUGACGGAGCAACGCCGCGUGAGUGAUGAAGGUCUUCGGAUCGUAAAACUCUGUUAUUAGGGAAGAACAUAUGUGUAAGUAACUGUGCACAUCUUGACGGUACCUAAUCAGAAAGCCACGGCUAACUACGUGCCAGCAGCCGCGGUAAUACGUAGGUGGCAAGCGUUAUCCCGGAUUAUUGGGCGUAAAGCGCGCGUAGCGGUUUUUUAAGUCUGAUGUGAAAGCCCACGGCUCAACCGUGGAGGGUCAUUGGAAACUGGAAAACUUGAGUGCAGAAGAGGAAAGUGGAAUUCCAUGUGUAGCGGUGAAAUGCGCAGAGAUAUGGAGGAACACCAGUGGCGAAGGCGACUUUCUGGUCUGUAACUGACGCUGAUGUGCGAAAGCGUGGGGAUCAAACAGGAUUAGAUACCCUGGUAGUCCACGCCGUAAACGAUGAGUGCUAAGUGUUAGGGGGUUUCCGCCCCUUAGUGCUGCAGCUAACGCAUUAAGCACUCCGCCUGGGGAGUACGACCGCAAGGUUGAAACUCAAAGGAAUUGACGGGGACCCGCACAAGCGGUGGAGCAUGUGGUUUAAUUCGAAGCAACGCGAAGAACCUUACCAAAUCUUGACAUCCUUUGACAACUCUAGAGAUAGAGCCUUCCCCUUCGGGGGACAAAGUGACAGGUGGUGCAUGGUUGUCGUCAGCUCGUGUCGUGAGAUGUUGGGUUAAGUCCCGCAACGAGCGCAACCCUUAAGCUUAGUUGCCAUCAUUAAGUUGGGCACUCUAAGUUGACUGCCGGUGACAAACCGGAGGAAGGUGGGGAUGACGUCAAAUCAUCAUGCCCCUUAUGAUUUGGGCUACACACGUGCUACAAUGGACAAUACAAAGGGCAGCGAAACCGCGAGGUCAAGCAAAUCCCAUAAAGUUGUUCUCAGUUCGGAUUGUAGUCUGCAACUCGACUACAUGAAGCUGGAAUCGCUAGUAAUCGUAGAUCAGCAUGCUACGGUGAAUACGUUCCCGGGUCU
rnacentral:rRNA from 1 species